rnacentral:lncRNA from 1 species
GAACUGCCCUCCUGGGCAGGAACAAACUAAAAAAGAAAAAAAGAAAAAAAGACUCAAUUCUACAAAGGACAAGACUCAAAAGAACACAAGGUACGCAAGACUCUAUCACAAUUAACUCAACCCUGCUAAUUUACACAACACUAGCUAGUUUUUCUAAUCAAAAUUGCACAAACAGAAUCACCAACUCCCAAUCCAAGUUUCAGCAACUCUAGCCAGCAACAAACAAUCAAAUUCAAUCAAGACAAGCAGAAGAAAACAUUUCAGAGAAGUAGCAGCCCAAAUUUCAACCUCACAGGAUAAAGUGUUUACACUCAAAACACUCAAGUGUUUAAGGUCAGCCUGUUUCACUCCACACGUCAUGAUGAACCACAAUUCUUAACUUUGAAAAAACUCUAGUUGACACUGCUUAAAUCAAGAUAACCUUUAGAUCACUAGGACUUGCAUGGCUUGUAAUGUAAUGGACAAUGGAAUAAGCUAGAUGGAUGAGAAAACAGAAGCUGAAAUGGAUUAGAGAAGUGUGAAAUAGAAGCUGGAAUGGAAUGGAGAAAUGUGAAAUAAAAGGGAGAAUCUGAAACUCACUGCAGGUAUUUUCUUUUAGCUUGGCCAGAAUCUAAUUUUUUUCUUUCUUUCUUUCUUUUCCAGUCUUUCUUUCUAUUUUUCUCAUUUUCUCUUUUUCCAAACUUCUCUUUUUCAGAUCAGAUUUUCCUCUUUUUCGAGUUCUUUUUCUCUUCAAUUUCACCUCUGGCCUCAUUCUUUUAUGCUUCUGAGUUCCAAAUCAUCCCUACUUCUCACAAUCCUUUCAAGGUUGUUUAUUUAUGGGAAAAAUGGUUCAUAAUGGAUGGAAAGCAAAGAAAAGGCUACGGCCCAAAUGAGGGUACAAUGGAAAGAAAUGUAAGUGAAUGGGAAGAAGAAAGAAGGCCUAGAUCAUCUCUAAAGUUCUACCAAGAUCAAGCACACUCAAAGAGAAUUAAUACAAAAUCAGAACUAUGGCUAUACAUGCAUGCAAUCACACUAGAAGGAACAAAUGGACACCCUAACGGAGCACCGGUGGACAUCCUUAGGGCAGAUUUAACUCCCCUGGCUAAAUACUGGAUGGCAUUUACUCAUGCCAACAUCCAGCCAUGC